rnacentral:rRNA from 1 species
AGUGAACGCUGGCGGUAGGCCUAACACAUGCAAGUCGAACGGCAGCACAGUAAGAGCUUGCUCUUACGGGUGGCGAGUGGCGGACGGGUGAGGAAUACAUCGGAAUCUACUUUUUCGUGGGGGAUAACGUAGGGAAACUUACGCUAAUACCGCAUACGACCUACGUGUGAAAGCAGGGGAUCUUCGGACCUUGCGCGAUUGAAUGAGCCGAUGUCGGAUUAGCUAGUUGGCGGGGUAAAGGCCCACCAAGGCGACGAUCCGUAGCUGGUCUGAGAGGAUGAUCAGGCAACCUGGAAGUGAGGACCGGUCCAGACUCCUGCGGGGGGCAGCAGUGGGGAAUAUUGGACGAUGGGGCCAAGGCUGAUCCAGCCAUACCGCGUGGGUGAAGAAGGCCUUCGGGUUGUAAAGCCCUUUUGUUGGGAAAGAAAAGCAGCAGGUUAAUACCGCGCUGUUCUGACGGUACCCAAAGAAGAAGCACCGGCUAACUUCGUG